rfam:Triticum urartu cultivar G1812 contig627798, whole genome shotgun sequence.
UAUGUACUCCCUCCGUCCGAAAAUACUUGUCAUCAAAAUGGACAAAAAUGGGUGUAUCUAGAACUAAAAUACAUCUAGAUACAUCCCCUUUUAUUCAUUUUGAUGACAAGUAUUUCCGGACGGAGGGAGUAUAUC